AGCUUUGCACAGUGGCAGUAUCAUAGCCAAUGAAGUUUAUCUGAGGCACGAUUAUUGCUAAUUGAAAGCUAAAAGAGCUCAUCUCAAUAGAAACACAAAACAGCCACAAAUGCUACUAAAAUAUAAUUUUAAAUUU